rnacentral:rRNA from 1 species
CCUACGGGUGGCAGCAGUGGGGGAUAUUGCACAAUGGGGGGAACCCUGAUGCAGCGAUGCCGCGUGGGUGAAGGAGUGCUUCGGCAUGUAAAGCCCUAUCGGCAGGGAGGAAACAAGACGGUACCUGACUAAGAAGCCCCGGCUAACUACGUGCCAGCAGCCGCGGUAAUACGGAGGGGGCGAGCGUUAGCCGGAUUCACUGGGUGUAAAGGGAGCGUAGACGGCCAAGCAAGCCAGGGGUGAAAGCCCGGGGCCCAACCUCGGAACUGCCCUUGGAACUGCCUGGCUGGAGUGCGGGAGGGGCAGGCGGAAUUCCUGGUGUAGCGGUGAAAUGCGUAGAGAUCAGGAGGAACACCGGCGGCGAAGGCGGCCUGCUGGGCCACGACUGACGUUGAGGCACGAAAGCGUGGGGAGCGAACAGGAUUAGAUACCCGAGUAGUC